ACCAGACUCCUACGGGAGGCAGCAGUGGGGGAUAUUGCACAAUGGGGGAAACCCUGAUGCAGCGACGCCGCGUGAGUGAAGAAGUAUUUCGGUAUGUAAAGCUCUAUCAGCAGGGAAGAAGAAAGACGGUACCUGAGUAAGAAGCCCCGGCUAACUACGUGCCAGCAGCCGCGGUAAUACGUAGGGGGCAAGCGUUAUCCGGAUUUACUGGGUGUAAAGGGAGCGUAGACGGUAUGGCAAGUCUGAAGUGAAAGCCCCGGGCUCAACCUGGGAACUGCUUUGGAAACUGUUAAACUAGAGUGCUGGAGAGGCAGGCGGAAUUCCUAGUGUAGCGGUGAAAUGCGUAGAUAUUAGGAGGAACACCAGUGGCGAAGGCGGCCUGCUGGACAGUAACUGACGUUGAGGCUCGAAAGCGUGGGGAGCAAACAGGAUUAGAUACCCUAGUA
rnacentral:rRNA from 1 species